GACGAACGCUGGCGGCGUGCUUAACACAUGCAAGUCGAACGGAAAGGCCCUGCUUUUGUGGGGUGGUCGAGAGGCGAACGGGUGAGUAACACGCGAGUAACCUGCCCUUGUCAUUGGGAUAACUCCACGAAAAAGGGGCUAAUACCGGGUAGGAGCUCCUGCUCCAGGGGGGGGGUCGGAAAGUCUCGGCGGUUGGGGAUGGACUCGCGGCUUAUCAGCCUGAUGGUGGGGUAGUGGCUUACCAAGCUUUCGACGGGUAGCCGGCCUGUGAAGGUGACCGGCCUCAUUGCGACUGAGAUACGGACCAGAAGCCUACGGUAGGCAGCGGUGGGGAAUAUUGCCCAGUGGGCCGGAGUCUGAGACAGCAGCGCUGCGUCCGGGAUGCCGGCCUUCGGGUUGUAAACCGCUUUCGCCUGUGACGAGGCCUGAGUGACGGUACUGGGUAAAAAAGCACCGGCUAACUACGUG
rnacentral:rRNA from 1 species